rnacentral:rRNA from 1 species
UGAUUCAUGGCUCAGAUUGAACGCUGGCGGCAGGCCUAACACAUGCAAGUCGAACGGAAACAUGUCUAGCUUGCUAGAUGAUGUCGAGUGGCGGACGGGUGAGUAAUGCUUGGGAACUUGCCUUUGCGAGGGGGAUAACAGUUGGAAACGACUGCUAAUACCGCAUAAUGUCUUCGGACCAAACGGGGCUUCGGCUCCGGCGCAAAGAGAGGCCCAAGUGAGAUUAGCUAGUUGGUGAGGUAAAGGCUCACCAAGGCAACGAUCUCUAGCUGUUCUGAGAGGAAGAUCAGCCACACUGGGACUGAGACACGGCCCAGACUCCUACGGGAGGCAGCAGUGGGGAAUAUUGCACAAUGGGGGAAACCCUGAUGCAGCCAUGCCGCGUGUGUGAAGAAGGCCUUCGGGUUGUAAAGCACUUUCAGUUGUGAGGAAAAGUUAGUAGUUAAUACCUGCUAGCCGUGACGUUAACAACAGAAGAAGCACCGGCUAACUCCGUGCCAGCAGCCGCGGUAAUACGGAGGGUGCGAGCGUUAAUCGGAAUUACUGGGCGUAAAGCGCACGCAGGCGGUUUGUUAAGCUAGAUGUGAAAGCCCCGGGCUCAACCUGGGACGGUCAUUUAGAACUGGCAGACUAGAGUCUUGGAGAGGGGAGUGGAAUUCCAGGUGUAGCGGUGAAAUGCGUAGAUAUCUGGAGGAACAUCAGUGGCGAAGGCGACUCCCUGGCCAAAGACUGACGCUCAUGUGCGAAAGUGUGGGUAGCGAACAGGAUUAGAUACCCUGGUAGUCCACACCGUAAACGCUGUCUACUAGCUGUUUGUGGCUUUAAGCCGUGAGUAGCGAAGCUAACGCGAUAAGUAGACCGC